CGCCUUUGACUUGGUCCAUUCCCUUGUUGUUGCCCCAAUUUCGUGCCUUGGCUUGGACCAGGCAUCAAUGCCAUUGUAUCAAGGUGCAUUGUGCUCCAAUUUGCCUUACUCUUGCCCACAAACUUGGCCUGUUUGCCGCAACUCGAACUCAUUCCAAAUCUGCCCGCACGUUGCCUUUCUGUUGCACAUUCGCUUGCCUACCAUGUCAAUCUGAUUUUAGCAUCAAGUCACCAAGCAUUGAUGCCAUUCCCGUUGCUAAGUCGUUUACCCACAAUUAACUUAGGUGCCAGUCCGCUCACCUAUGUCAUGGCAACAUCACGUCGCCAAUGCCACUGCCUUGGCACUAAGCUGCCCCAAUUUAGCGGCGAGGCCUUUCCCAUUUUGCCUUGUCAAGCAUCUGUCCAGCCCG
rnacentral:lncRNA from 1 species